GAUGAACGCUGGCGGCGUGCCUAAUACAUGCAAGUCGAGCGAACAGACGAGGAGCUUGCUCCUCUGACGUUAGCGGCGGACGGGUGAGUAACACGUGGAUAACCUACCUAUAAGACUGGGAUAACUUCGGGAAACCGGAGCUAAUACCGGAUAAUAUAUUGAACCGCAUGGUUCAAUAGUGAAAGACGGUUUUGCUGUCACUUAUAGAUGGAUCCGCGCAGCAUUAGCUAGUUGGUAAGGUAACGGCUUACCAAGGCGACGAUGCGUAGCCGACCUGAGAGGGUGAUCGACCACACUAGAGCUAAGACACGAUCCAGACUCCUACAGGAGGCUACAGUAGGGACUCUACCGCAUUGGGCGAAAGCUUGACGGAGCAACGCCGGGUGGAUGAUGAAGGGCUUCGGAUCGUAAAACUCUGUUAUUAAGGAAAAUCAAAUGUGUAAGUAACUAUGCACGUCUUGACGGUACCUAAUCAGAAAGCAACGGCUAGCUACGUG
rnacentral:rRNA from 1 species